rnacentral:lncRNA from 1 species
AUUUGUAUCACUCGAGAGGAAGCUUGUUCAUCUUAAGAAACUUGUACUCUCUAUAGACAUAAGGCUUGAACUUUGGAGCAUCAUCAACAACUAGCUCCGGCAAAGGUCCGACCACGUGAUCAAGGUUCGGUUCCGCGAAAACCGGCCAAGAGAGUCUCGUCCUCACCAUAUCCAUCGUCGCUCUAUGCUCUCCACUCUUAUACCUCCCAUUGCUCAUCCUCUACAAAACUCACAUUAUUUUUGAAAACUAUUGUAUAAAAUGUUAUUAAAUUUAGAUAGAAACAUAUAAAUUAAAACUUCCUUAAAUAUAUCUUUUAUUAAAAAGAUAUUAGACCAUUAAUUUCAUGGACCGUGCACAUAGCUAAGCAGGCCUUGUACACAUCCCCAACAAUCAAAACCAAACAAACAUGACUUAUCUGAAAAUGUUCAAAACUGUAUCUCUACCUUGAUUUGGUCGGCGAUGAUGACAACGAUCCCUGAGUCAUCAUACUUGACGUCGACCCACUUGUUGUCCUGGUACGCCUGAAGUCCGUCUACCUCAUCAGCGAUCAAGAACGUGAUUCCAUUGAGAUCAUUAAUAUAUAUGAGGAUAAUUAAUAACAAAAAAAAAACUUUUUCACCAUUGACCAAAUUAACAAAAGUAAUUAAUGUUGUUGGCCGACAAACCAUAUUUUUGAUUAACAUGAAUAUUUAGGAAAUCUUCAAAAGCAUCAAUUUUCUAUUAUUUAUAUGAACUUUAGAAUCAUAUAAUCCAUAUUUCCUUUUGGUUUUUGUUCCUUUUGCAUUUUACGUAGAAAAUAGUAACUCUUCUGCUUUCUUUAUACAGAAAUUCUUGGGUUCACCCCCUAUGGUGAACCUUUAGGUUCACCAACCAAUAGUGUUUGAGUAUUUGAUAUUUGAUAUCUUUUAAAAAAGGAAACAACAUUAAAUUUCCAAAUAAGAUUAUCUUUCUAAAAUAAAACAAUAAAAAUACAUAAAAAUAGUUACAAAAAAUAAAUAAAUAAAUAUUUUUAAGUUUUCAGCAAAAUACUAAACCCUAUAUCCUAAAUCUUAAACCCUAAACCCUAAACCUUAAACUUUGGAUAAACUCUAAACGUUUGAAAAUCCUAAACCCUAAAUCAUACAUUAAAAACUAAAUUUUAAUAACACUAAACCCUAAAUCCUAAUCACUAAACCCUAAACCCUUGGGUAAACCCUGAACCCUUGGAUAAAUCAUCAUAAAUCAUAAACUGUAAAUCAAAAAUAUUUAAAAUUAAACUCUAGAGAUUAUGAUUUAUCCAAGGGUUCAGGGUUUACCCAAGGGUUUAGGGUUUAGUGAUUAGAAUUUAGGGUUUAGUGUUAUUAAAAUUUAGUUUUUAAUGUAUGAUUUAGGGUUUAGGAUUUUCAAACGUUUAGAGUUUAUCCAAAGUUUAAGGUUUAGGGUUUAGGGUUUAAGAUUUAGGGUAUAGGGUUUAGUAUUUUGCUGAAGACUUAAAAAUAUUUAUUUAUUUAUUUUUUGUAACUAUUUUUAUGUAUUUUUAUUGUUUUAUUUUAAAAAGAUAAUCUUAUUUGGAAAUUUAAUGUUGUUUCCUUUUUUAAAAGAUAUCAAAUAUCAAAUACUCAAAUACUAUUGGUUGGUGAACCUAUAGGUUCACCCUAGGGGGUGAACCCAAGAAUUACUCUUAAUUAACAGAAACUUCCAACAUCAAUUAACUGAAACAGUCGUUCAUUGAGAUUAGCGUCAGUCGAUAGGAAGCUUGUUCAUCUUAAGAUACUUGUACUCUCUGUAGACAUAAGGCUUAAACUUAGGAGCAUCGUCAAUAACUAGCUCCGCCAAAGGUCCGACGACAUGAUCAAGGUUCGGUUCCGCGAACACCGGCCACGAGAGUCUCGUCCUUACCGUAUCCAUCGUCACUCUAUGCUCCCCACUCUUAUACCUCCCAUUGCUCAUCCUCU